AGUGUUCUUGCCUGGAGAAUCCCAGGGACAGGGGAGCCUGGUGGGCUGCCGUCUAUGGGGUUGCACAGAGUCGGACACGACUGAAGCGACUUAGCAGUAGUAGUAGCAGUUUCUCCCUGGGCAAGCAGAUUCUUAACCACCAGAGAAGUCCUGGCAAAUGAGUUAUUGAGUGAAGGAAUGCAGAGAAACAUCUGAAAGAACAAGGGAAGAAGAACAGGGCAAGGCGAAAGAUUAGACAAAGAGUGGAGCCACCACCUGACCCCACGAGGAUCUCUAGAGCAUUGGUUGUAUCACAAGUUUUCCCAGCACCAGGAAAGGAGGCUGGGCACUGGACUCACACAUCACUCAGGCAUCAGUGCUAAUUACGAGCGGACAUAGAACGCUUCCUCUGACAAAGACACGGGAGCCUGGCACCAAGGUUUCUCCCACAUCCCUGUGUGUUCACCACGUCUGGAUGGAGCUCUGGUCAACCUUUGCAAAGCCGAUGUACCCGCUCCAAAGAAGGUUUGCCAGGAGUCAGACAAAGAUGGUGUAAGUUUCUAACCAGCGUCCAACUGUAUUGUCAUGUCAGGGGCGCCACCCCCAGAAUGUGUGCCUGGCCCAGAGGCUUCUGAAAAGUCAGACCUGUGAGCAAUAAAUC
ensembl:lncRNA